AGUUUGAUCCUGGCUCGAAUGAACGCUGGCGGCAAGCCUAACACAUGCAAGUCGAACGGAGUUAUAUUGUAGCUUGCUAUGGUAUAACUUAGUGGCAGACGGGUGAGUAAUGUAUAGGAAUCUACCUAGUAGUACGGAAUAAUUGUUGGAAACGGCAACUAAUACCGUAUACGCCCUACGGGGGAAAAAUUUAUUGCUAUUAGAUGAGCCUAUAUUAGAUUAGCUAGUUGGUGGAGUAAUAGCCUACCAAGGCAAUGAUCUAUAGCUGAUCUGAGAGGAUGAUCAGCCACACUGGAACUGAGAUACGGUCCAGACUCCUACGGGAGGCAGCAGUGGGGAAUAUUGGACAAUGGGCGAAAGCCUGAUCCAGCCAUGCCGCAUGAGUGAAGAAGGCCUUUGGGUUGUAAAGCUCUUUUAGUGAGGAAGAUAAUGACGGUACUCACAGAAGAAGUCCUGGCUAACUCCGUGCCAGCAGCCGCGGUAAUACGGAGAGGGCUAGCGUUAUUCGGAAUUAUUGGGCGUAAAGGGCGCGUAGGCGGAUUAGUAAGUUAAAAGUGAAAUCCCAAGGCUCAACCUUGGAAUUGCUUUUAAAACUGCUAAUCUAGAGAUUGAAAGAGGAUAGAGGAAUUCCUAGUGUAGAGGUGAAAUUCGUAAAUAUUAGGAGGAACACCAGUGGCGAAGGCGUCUAUCUGGUUCAAAUCUGACGCUGAGGCGCGAAGGCGUGGGGAGCAAACAGGAUUAGAUACCCUGGUAGUCCACGCUGUAAACGAUGAAUGUUAAAUAUGGGAAGUUUUACUUUCUGUAUUACAGCUAACGCGUUAAACAUUCCGCCUGGGGACUACGGUCGCAAGAUUUAAACUCAAAGGAAUUGACGGGGACC
rnacentral:rRNA from 1 species